AUUGAACGCUGGCGGCAGGCCUAACACAUGCAAGUCGAACGAGUGGCGGACGGGUGAGUAAUGUCUGGGAAACUGCCUGAUGGAGGGGGAUACCUACUGGAAACGGUAGCUAAUACCGCAUCCCAUCGGAUGUGCCCAGAUGGGAUUAGCUAGUAGGUGGGGUAAAGGCUCAUCUAGGCGACGAUCCCUCGCUGGUCUGAGAGGAUGACCAGGCACACUGAAACUGAGACACGGUCCAGACUCCUACGGGAGGCAGCAGUGGGGAAUAUUGCACAAUGGGCGCAAGCCUGAUGCUGCCAUGCCGCGUGUAUGAAGAAGGCCUUCGGGUUGUAAAGUACUGUCAGCGGGAAGGCGUUACCCGCAGAAGAAGCACCGGCUAACUCCGUGCCAGCAGCCGCGGUAAUUC
rnacentral:rRNA from 1 species